CCAAAGGCUCUUUUCAGAGCCCCCACCCUCUCAGGGAAGAGCUG
rfam:Oryctolagus cuniculus chromosome 12, whole genome shotgun sequence.